rnacentral:rRNA from 1 species
AUUGAACGCUGGCGGCAUGCUUUACACAUGCAAGUCGAACGGUAACAAGUCUUCGGAUGCUGACGAGUGGCGAACGGGUGAGUAAUGCAUCGGAACGUGCCCAGUCGUGGGGGAUAACGCAGCGAAAGCUGCGCUAAUACCGCAUACGAUCUAUGGAUGAAAGCGGGGGACCGUAAGGCCUCGCGCGAUUGGAGCGGCCGAUGUCAGAUUAGGUAGUUGGUGGGGUAAUGGCCCACCAAGCCAACGAUCUGUAGCUGGUCUGAGAGGACGACCAGCAACACUGGGACUGAGACACGGCCCAGACUCCUACGGGAGGCAGCAGUGGGGAAUUUUGGACAAUGGGCGCAAGCCUGAUCCAGCAAUGCCGCGUGCAGGAAGAAGGCCUUCGGGUUGUAAACUGCUUUUGUACGGAACGAAACGGCUCUCUCUAAUACAGAGGGCUAAUGACGGUACCGUAAGAAUAAGCACCGGCUAACUACGUGCCAGCCGCCGCAGUAA